rnacentral:rRNA from 1 species
UACGUAGGGUGCGAGCGUUGUCCGGAAUCAUUGGGCGUAAAGGGCGCGUAGGUGGCUUCUCAAGCGUGCGGUGAAAGCCUGGGGCUCAACCCCGGGUCGGCCGUGCGAACUGGGCUCACUGGAGCAUAGUAGAGGCAGGUGGAAUUCCGGGUGUAGCGGUGGAAUGCGUAGAGAUCCGGAAGAACACCGGUGGCGAAGGCGGCCUGCUGGGCUAUGGCUGACACUGAGGCGCGACAGCGUGGGGAGCAAACAGGG